UAAUACGUAGGUGGCAAGCGUUGUCCGGAUUUACUGGGCGUAAAGAGCGCGCAGGCGGUCGGAUCAGUCGAAUGUGAAAGCCCCCGGCUCAACUGGGGAGGGUCAUUCGAUACUGUCCGACUCGAAGGCAGGAGAGGGAAGCGGAAUUCCCGGUGUAGUGGUGAAAUGCGUAGAUAUCGGGAGGAACACCAGUGGCGAAGGCGGCUUUCUGGCCUGUUCUUGACGCUGAGGCGCGAAAGCUAGGGGAGCGAACGGGAUUAGAUACCCCGGUAGUCCUAGCCGUAAACGAUGGACACUAGGUGUUGGUGGUAUCAACCCCACCAGUGCCGUAGCUAACGCAUUAAGUGUCCCGCCUGGGGAGUACGGCCGCAAGGCUA
rnacentral:rRNA from 1 species